CAUUGUCGUAACCCGCUAAAGCAAAGCAACUUGUGAACAUGUAGUUAAACCAAGGGAUUCAAGGGCAUCCCCUUUGGGUACGCCCUUUCUUCCCAACGUCGGGACGGCUUGUUGUUUGCUAUGCUUUCCAAGCUGUCCGGGCGCAACAAAAACCCGGCGCAAAAUGCGCCAAGGAAUAUAAAAGAAUGUGCAUUCUUUCGGUGAUCCCGUGCGGACCACUCGGACGGAUGUGUUCUUCUUGAUGAGUUUAUAAUGACUCUCGGCAACGGAUAUCUCGGCUCUUACAUCGAUGAAGAACGUAGCAAAAUGCGAUACUUGGUGUGAAUUGCAGAAUCCCGUGAACCAUCGAGUCUUUGAACGCAAGUUGCGCCCAAAUCCAUCCGGUUGAGGGCACGUCUGCCUGGGUGUCACGUACACAAGGCUCCCACAAACCUUCCCUGCUUUAGACGAAGGGCGUUGUGCGAGCUGAGAUUGGUCUCCCGGGCUUGUUCUGCGCGGCUAACCUAAAAUCAGAGCCAGUGACAAAACGUCACGUCUAGUGGUGGUUAAUGAGCCUUAAGGGUCGACCAGUUCGCGGCGUGAAUGUUUGUCACCUGAAAAGCUCAAUUGACACCUCGAACGUCUUAAUCGGCGUGCUACUGUCGCGACCCCA
rnacentral:misc_RNA from 1 species